rnacentral:rRNA from 1 species
AGACGUCUACAUUAGAUACCCGCGUAGUCCAGGGUGUAAACGCUGCAGACUUGGUGUUGGAAGCCCUUUGGGGGCAUUCAGUGCCAGAGAGAAGUUGUUAAGUCUGCUACUUGGGAGUACGUCCGCAAGGAUGAAACUUAAAGGAAUUGGCGGGGAGCACCGCAACGGGAGGAGCGUGCGGUUUAAUUGGAUUCAACACCGUAAAACUCACCAGGGAAGACUGUUACAUGAAGGCCGAGAUGAAGACUCUGCUAGAUUUUCAG